GCAACAGCGAUAAGGGAACCUCGAGUGCCAGGUUACAAAUCUGGCUGUCGAGAUGCCUAAAAAGCAUUUCAUAGCAAGGGCCGGGCAAGACCGGUGCCAGCCGCCGCGGUAACACCGGCGGCUCGAGUGGUAACCGUUAUUAUUGGGUCUAAAGGGUCUGUAGCCGGCCGGAUAAGUCUCUUGAGAAAUCUGGCAGCUUAACUGUCAGGCUUUCAGGAGAUACUGUCUGGCUCGAGGCCGGGAGAGGUGAGAGGUACUUCAGGGGUAGGGGUGAAAUCUUGUAAUCCUUGAAGGACCACCAGUGGCGAAGGCGUCUCACCAGAACGGACCUGACGGCAAGGGACGAAAGCUAGGGGCACGAACCGGAUUAGAUACCCGGGUAGUCCUAGCCGUAAACGAUACUCGCUAGGUGUCGGCCACGGUGCGACCGUUGUCGGUGCCGUAGGGAAGCCGUGAAGCGAGC
rnacentral:rRNA from 1 species